AAACAGUAAAAUGGCAGCAGUAGUAAGCAAUGUAAGUAAGCAAAGUAAAUCAAUAGGCUUACUCUGCUAUGCAAAUUAAAACAUUUACAUUUGCGGGAUCAGUGCCAAUUGACAUGACUAAGAAAAAUAUUGACCUUUCUGUUGGGCAAAUUACAUUAGUCUUCAUGGUUCAUGAAAUGAAGAAAUCUGGGAAUAUGUGAUGCUGGAAGAAAUGUGAAAAAUGAGGACUGGUGUAGAGGUGCAAGCUGAAUAUGAAAUUGCAAGCUGCCACAGUGAGGAACCUCAUAGCAGAACAGACGAUGGAUAAUCCUGUGUUUUGCUGAGCUAACAGCAUGGGCUGUAGCCUGGGCAGAAAGGCAGCAACAGUUAAAUUCUGCACGGAGUGCGAGUUUAUAGUCCUACUUACUCUGUUUAAAUGUGGUAGGAUCCUGAAUAUAUUACAUUCUUAUGCUUCAGACAGGUGGUUGUCAGCUCUGAUUCUGUAAUGGCAACUUUUCUUGACUUGGCAACACACUACACAAGAUGAGUAUUCUCAGCUGCUCCCUUUUAACUGGAAAAGCCUCACUGAUGCCUGAUGCUGCAGCUAUGGACUUAUCCUGGCAAUUUGUCACACAAGUACAGUUUUGCAAACAAAUUUAUUCAAAUACUCAUACUAAUGAUAAUUAUAUUUGUCCUCUAAACUUAAUUUCCAGGGGUAAUCCUUUAAGCCAUUAGUUGGGGCUGGAUGGGUGAGAGAGGAUCACUUCAUGGGCUCCUGCUGACAGUGCAGAUGAGAGAGCAGAGCCUGCAGCGGGAAGAAGGUGUGGGGAAAGGACGAGGGUCACUCAUGUAUGGGAGGACUCCUGCCCACUACAGCUGAAACCAUGGAGGUUUUUGUGGGACAGCAAAGGAACAGAUCCAUAGGAAAAGGCCAAGAGAGACACUGGAGUAAUUUAACAAAAUGAUCUUUCUUCAGCUGCUACUGUUUUCUGAGUC